rnacentral:lncRNA from 10 species
CCGUAAUCCCCAGUACUUGUGAAUAUGAUCUUAUAAAUGGCAAAAGAGACUGUGUUUAUAAUUAAGCUUUCAGUACUAAGUAUCCUGGAUCAAAGAACUACAGGAUGAUAACAUUGCUUUCAGCCGUAUCUAUUACAUGCGAUGCCCUGAUUCUGUGACAGGCCCUCCACAAAAUGCAUGAUGUGUUCUUUCAUAAUCUUAUAAUAACUCUGGAAGGUUACUGGUUUCUAUUUCCAUCAAAGGACAUAAAGCUGAAGAGAGUGAGUAAGUUGCCAAGUCCAUACAGCUAACAAGGAUGUGAUGUAGGGUUUAAAUCAUAUCACUGUGACUGCAAAGCCUGAACUUCACUGUUAAGCAUCCCUGUGUUCUUGUCACUCGGUGCCAUUGAUAUUUCCUGGGCAGUAAGAGUGUGUCAUAGUCCCAGGAACAACUCUGGUUCUUCUAAGAUGUAAGAUCAAAAUUUCUCUAAAAGGUUGCUGUAGCUUAACUAUUUAGUUGUUUUGAUACGUGUGUGUGAUGUGCGUUGGGUGAAUUUUUUUUGAAAAGUUUUUUUCUGAUUAUAAAAAUAUAUUUUUUCAUUUUA